GUUAGGCUUUGCGCCGUUUCAACUCUUUCUCUUAACUUCUCGUUCUCGUUUCUCCUUCGUGAAAACGGCGAUGGCCUUCCCCUCCUCUCCGGCGAGCGUUAUGAACGCCGCCGCAACUAACCCUUCUUCUACCUCGAUCUCCGUCUCUAAUCCCAACCUCAUUCUUUCUAAUUCGUCCCUCAAUUCUCUGUAUUUGAUUCACAACAAAACCCUAAGAAGCCUAAGAAAGCGAUUACAAGAUGAUGAUGGACGCUACUGCUCAAUUCAUGGGGGAAACAAUCAGAAGACCACAAUCUACCGUAUAGCAUCAACAAUGGCGCAAAAGAAGAUGAAUGAUGGAAAUAGCGAUUCGAAGACUUACCUGAAUGUGAGCCGAAGAUGGUUGUUGAGGAAAACCAGAGGUGAGUUAGAGAUGAGGCGAAGAUGAUGAUGCUGUUUGAAGGAAUUUGUUGAAGAUGAACGAAUGGAAUUGGUGGAUGGGAGCGUUUCUUUGGGAGAUUGAAGGUGAAGAGUAAGAGUGACGCCGAUGGUUGUGAUGCUGAGAUGAACGUUGGAUGAGGCUCGUUCUUGGAGAAUUUGCAGUGAUGUCGAGGCGAUACGAAAGCGAAGUUGUGAGGAAGAUUGAGGUUUGCGGACUUAUGUAUGGAUUGACGAUGAUGAAAUCUUCAGGUGUUGACCCUUUUCUUCUCCUUCUUCAAUUUUCUUCUUCAAUUCUGUUAUGUGUGGAUUUAGGAUUUGGCUUGUGAUAGUGAUGAUGGUGAGGUGCAGGUUUGGAGUUAAUUCGAUGAAGAUGAAGGUUGAGGUUGCAGAGUUUGAAGAUGGGUGAGUAUGGAAGAGAGUGAAAGCGUGGAGUUUGUGAUGUGGAACUGAGAGAAUGAAUGGAGUGAAAAUGGUGGAGACGCUCAAGAAUGAUUGAAGUCUCUGUUAUAUAGGGAUGAAAGGUACAGGCUCAGUUUUGAAGAUGGAAUAUGGGGCUGAAGUGAAUUUAUCAUGCAGCGGGCUCGGUUCGACUUCAAGUGCAGGCUGCAGAGCAUGAAGAAAAAGGAAGAGGAACUUGGGAUUAGUUUUAGGUUUAGAAGUGAGCAUAUGAUGUUUCUUUUUUCUUUCUGUUCCAUGUUCCAAAAGUAGACAAACAGUAGGGUAUUGGUAUGGUUUGUAAAUAAUGGAUUUCAUUUGUAAAUUUGAACUUGAAUGAAUAUAUUUGGAAUAAUGUUGGUUUUGAA